CCCUGCCUUCCACACUAGAAGGAAGAAAAAACCUCACUGAAGUCAAAGGAAAUGUCUAGCUAAAAAGACUAGCAUUGUCCCAUGCUGCAAAACUUCUCUGCUGGUAUUAGAUCAUUCAGUGGAAAAUUAGGUGCAAACCUAGGUUGUUUAUUGAACUAAAGGCAUACAUUUGCUAAAGACAGCUCUCUAUUCUUACAAAGGUAUCAACUGCUUCUAUCAUCAUAGGAUUUCCCACUUUUCUUUACCACUGGGGAAGGAAGAGAUCCAAAGUGGAGAAAGAAAAGCUGUCUGAGCAUAUGCAGAACUUCCCUGAACAGCAGUGGCUUUUUGUGCUUCUACCAGAAAAAUUAUUAUGACUAUAAAAACAUCUACAGGCAGAGCUGAUACAAGCAAAAUGGGUCUUAACUUUGAGGACCCAGUUGUCCACUAAGCAGCAUCAUUCCCUUGAACCCUGUGUCUACAAAGUCCCAUCUACAUCAGGGCGUCUAAACAGGUUGACCUUCAUGGAGCACACAGUAGAUUCAUAGAUUAAAAUGGCCAUGAGGAAAUUUCACUACACCAUAGAAUUUGGUGGACUUGAAAAUAAAUUAGACAGUGUGGCAUGUUAGCAAAAGUUCUAAUUGUACAUACUUCCCAGAGAAGUAGUUAGGCCUUACAUUAACUCUGUUCCUCUCAGCAAUUGAGAUUCUUCUCCAUGUUAAAUAUUUCUUUUUUACUAUUUCUCUGUCCUCUUCAUCUAAACCUGUCUGCCCUCUCUUUCCCCAGAAAUUGCAAGAAUUGGAAGGCGCAGCGGUCCAGCUUCAGUAUCCAUUGAGAUCAAACCUAAAGAAAUGGACCCAUCUCUAUUCAAAAUGAAUUUCCUUUAUACAAAAACCACAAAGGAAACUGAAGCUACAUUUCUAAAUACUGAAAAGCAAAGAAUAAAAGCUCUGUGCCUUGUGAUCAGCAAGAAAAGACAGACAAAAAUGGAUCGUGGAAUUGGCUGAGGACCUAGCUGCAAGUCACAGCAAUGGCUUUCAAAAAUAAAGGCAGGCAAGGAAAGCAUCCUCCAAGC
rnacentral:lncRNA from 1 species